rnacentral:tRNA from 1 species
GAGAUGGUAGCUCAACGGUAGAGCACAAUUUUUUGCCUAAUCAGGCCGCAGGACUAAAGGUUAUCGCUUUUGAACGAACUCCCCUUUUGUCCGCCGAGAUGCGGGUUCAACUCCUGCUCAUCUCC